rnacentral:rRNA from 1 species
AUACGAAGGGGGCUAGCGUUGUUCGGAUUUACUGGGCGUAAAGCGCACGUAGGCGGAUUGUUAAGUCAGGGGUGAAAUCCUGGAGCUCAACUCCAGAACUGCCUUUGAUACUGGCAAUCUAGAGUCCGGAAGAGGUGAGUGGAACUCCUAGUGUAGAGGUGGAAUUCGUAGAUAUUAGGAAGAACACCAGUGGCGAAGGCGGCUCACUGGUCCGGUACUGACGCUGAGGUGCGAAAGCGUGGGGAGC